rnacentral:rRNA from 1 species
AGCAGCCGCGGUAAAUUCCAGCUCCAAUAGCGUAUAUUAAAGUUGUUGCAGUUAAAAAGCUCGUAGUUGAAUUUCGGGAUCAAGGAAUCGGUCAUGCCUCGGUAUGUACUGGUUUUAUUGGUUCUCACCUUCUAAAGAACCAUAAUGUCAUUCAUUUGGUGUUAUGGGGAAUUAGGACUGUUACCUUGAAAAAAUUAGAGUGUUUAAAGCAAGCUUACGCUUGAAUACAUUAGCAUGGAAUAAUGAAAUAGGACAUCCGAUUCUAUUUUGUUGGUUUCUAGGAUCGUUGUAAUGAUUAAUAGGGAUAGUUGGGGGCAUUAGUAUUCAAUUGUCAGAGGUGAAAUUCUUGGAUUAUUGAAGACUAACUACUGCGAAAGCAUUCGCCAAGGAUGUUUUCAUU